UACGUAGGGUGCAAGCGUUAAUCGGAAUUACUGGGCGUAAAGCGUGCGCAGGCGGUUUUGUAAGUCUGACGUGAAAUCCCCGGGCUCAACCUGGGAAUUGCGUUGGAGACUGCAAGGCUGGAGUCUGGCAGAGGGGGGUAGAAUUCCACGUGUAGCAGUGAAAUGCGUGAGAGAUGUGGAGGAACACCGAUGGCGCAAGGCAGCCCCCUGGGUCAAGACUGACGCUCAUGCACGAAAGGCGUGGGGAGCAAACGAGG
rnacentral:rRNA from 1 species